rnacentral:rRNA from 1 species
GUAGGGAAUCUUGCGCAAUGGGCGAAAGCCUGACGCAGCAACGCCGCGUGAGGGAUGGAGGCCUUCGGGUUGUAAACCUCUUUCAGCAGGGACGAUUGUGACGGUACCUGCAGAAGAAGCCCCGGCCAACUACGUGCCAGCAGCCGCGGUAAUACGUAGGGGGCGAGCGUUGUCCGGAAUCAUUGGGCGUAAAGAGCUCGUAGGCGGUUUGGUAAGUCGGGUGUGAAACCUCCAGGCUCAACCUGGAGAUGCCACUCGAUACUGCCAUGACUAGAGUCCGGUAGGGGUCCACGGAAUUCCUGGUGUAGCGGUGAAAUGCGCAGAUAUCAGGAGGAACACCGGUGGCGAAGGCGGUGGGCUGGGCCGGAACUGACGCUGAGGAGCGAAAGCGUGGGGAGCGAACAGGAUUAGAUACCCUUGUAGUCC